rnacentral:lncRNA from 1 species
CUUUCUUCAUUCUUUUCUCUUUUUCUUGAAUUCCUGAUCUAAACUUUCCCUUGUUUAUUUUGUUUCUGAGGGAGUUGUCUGCACAUAGGAAGAGAGAGUACGUCCCGAAGCUUGUGAUAUGAGACAAUGAAGUGGUUUCUUCCUCACAUGUAAGUGAUAGUUUGAUGGUUGCAAUCACUUUAUUGGUGACUUUACAUCAUAAUAGUUACAUGAACAGUCAUCUUUCCCAGAAGGCACUGUAAAUGGUCUAGAAAUGGAUAGGGCGGCUGCAUGCACCAAAUGAUCACCUGUAGGUCAUGGCUAUCUACAUCACGAAAGCUGUGAGGACGAGCCAUCCAAUC